UGGCGGACGGGUGAGUAAUGUCUGGGAAACUGCCUGAUGGAGGGGGAUAACUACUGGAAACGGUGGCUAAUACCGCAUAACGUCGCAAGACCAAAGAGGGGGACCUUCGGGCCUCUUGCCAUCAGAUGUGCCCAGAUGGGAUUAGCUAGUUGGUGAGGUAACGGCUCACCAAGGCGACGAUCCCUAGCUGGUCUGAGAGGAUGACCAGCCACACUGGAACUGAGACACGGUCCAGACUCCUACGGGAGGCAGCAGUGGGGAAUAUUGCACAAUGGGCGCAAGCCUGAUGCAGCCAUGCCGCGUGUAUGAAGAAGGCCUUCGGGUUGUAAAGUACUUUCAGCGGGGAGGAAGGUGUUGUGGUUAAUAACCGCAGCAAUUGACGUUACCCGCAGAAGAAGCACCGGCUAACUCCGUGCCAGCAGCCGCGGUAAUACGGAGGGUGCAAGCGUUAAUCGGAAUUACUGGGCGUAAAGCGCACGCAGGCGGUCUGUCAAGUCGGAUGUGAAAUCCCCGGGCUCAACCUGGGAACUGCAUUCGAAACUGGCAGGCUUGAGUCUUGUAGAGGGGGGUAGAAUUCCAGGUGUAGCGGUGAAAUGCGUAGAGAUCUGGA
rnacentral:rRNA from 1 species